AAAAAGGUUUUCUAGGGUUCCGCAGCAGCUGCUGGCCUGGUCCGAGAGAAAACUCAUAGCUAUAAAAGCUAUGCCACGGAAGGAUAAAAGCCUGGGAGAU
rnacentral:sRNA from 2 species